rnacentral:rRNA from 1 species
GACGAACGCUGGCGGCGUGCCUAAUACAUGCAAGUCGAACGCAGUGGGGACGGGUGAGUCACACGUGGGUAACCUCCCAUCAGAGGGGAUAACACUUGGAAACAGGUGCUAAACCGAUACUGAUGGAUGGACCCGCGGUGCAUUAGCUAGUUGGUGAGGUAACGGCUCACCAAGGCCACGAUGAAUAGCCGACCUGAGAGGGUGAUCGGCCACACGGGGACUGAGACACGGCCCAGACUAAUACGGGGGGCAGCAGUAGGGAAUCUUCGGCAAUGGAAGAAAGUCUGACCGAGCAACGCCGCGUGAGUGAAGAAGGUUUUCGGAUCGUAAAACUCUGUUGUUAGGGAAGAGGUAUAUAACCAGAAAGCGACGGCUAACAACGUGCCAGCCGCCGCGGUAAUUC